AUCCCGUAUUAGCUGUGUGGCCCUGGGCAAGUUACCUACCCUCUCUGAACUUCACUUUCCAUAUCAAUGCAAUGGGUUUGAUAACAGCCAUACCACUCCUAUCAAAGGAAGAAGUGAGAUGCUGUGCAUGAAGCCAUCUGCACAGUGCCUGGCACAUGGUAAAUGCUCCAUGGACUAUGGCUGUUUUUAUCCUUCUUAUUCAUCCGCGGAGCCGGCUAACCUCUUCUCCCCUGGAAGGGAAGGUGCAGUCUCCUAGCCUCCUACUCUUUCCUUACUCAUCAGCUCCAUGUCCUGUUUAUUCUUCUCACACAGGCUCUCCCUGGGAACACGGGACACGGGUGGCAGGUCUGGGAGCUGUCAGCUGCCAGGUGGCAUGGGACAGGCCAAACGAUCUCCCCGCAGAGCCAGCUUUCAGCACCAAGCCCAUUUCCACCAGAUAACGCGGACGGGAGCAUGUGUCUGAAAGGCCACCCUGUUGAACAGCACACUGGCUGAGCAAGAACAAAGACCAUAAACGAAGAAGGAUGUUUGCACUCUGCUUCCCGCUUGCCUGAAAACAGGAAGCUUCGGCGGCCUACCCUGGUGAGGUCUCCACCUCUUCCUUACCCCGAAGCGACAUGGCCUAAGAGGCUUUCUUUUUACCACUUAUUUUUUUUAAUAGAGCACAUCUCUUCUAAGACACUUUCUUUUCUUCUCUUUUUUUUUUAAUCUCCUUUUGCUGCAAUGAGAGGGGGCCAUGUCUGUUCUGCUGGUUCCGCGGGGAAAUGAGGAUGGCGAGCAGCUGCCCCCUUUUUCUCUCACCUGAUGUGCUCCUCUGAGCUCACCUUGCACAAGCACCUGUGAGGAGAAGAUGUCACCAGCGGGGAAUGCCAGCAGUUGGCCCAAUCGAGACAGCUGGGCAGACCCCCGGGGCUGGUGACUUAGAAGAAGUCAGGUGGCAGGCUGUUGAGGUAAGUUUCCCCGCAGAUGUCAAGGAUUGCAAAAUGACGAAACUGAUUCAUCAUCGAGAUGGUACUCAUUGACACCAGAAAGGAUUGGAGAAGAGCUCUCUUGCUGACAGAGGAGGACCAGGGACCAGCCAGCUAGGAAACGCGGGGGCUGAAUACGGCUGAGCGUAGGAAGGGGAGCAGGGCGGUGUCUCUGGAAGCAAUGGGCAGGACAUGGGCCAGACUGGCCUCGUGAGCUUCUGUUCUGCAGCCUCAGCAGCCUCUGGGUCUUCCAGUUUCCUGUUCUUACAGUUUAAAUGUGGGCAAGAGUAAAUCUCUGAAUCAGUCAGGGUUCUCCAGAGAAACAGAACCAAUAGGAUACACAUACAUCAAGAGUUUUGUUUUAAAAGAAGUUGGCUCAUGCAAUUAGAGGGACUAAGUCUAAAAUCCAUAGGGCAGGCAACAGGCUGGAAGCUCAGGCAGGCGUUGAUGCUCCAGUCUGGAGGCGGAAUCU
rnacentral:lncRNA from 1 species